UUGGAUCACCUCCUUAU
rnacentral:rRNA from 1 species